CAGGUAGGGAAUCUUCGGCAAUGGACGAAAGUCUGACCGAGCAACGCCGCGUGAGUGAAGAAGGUUUUCGGAUCGUAAACUCUGUUGGUAGAGAAGAACGUUGGUGAGAGUGGAAAGCUCAUCAAGUGACGGUAACUACCCAGAAAGGGACGGCUAACUACGUGCCAA
rnacentral:rRNA from 1 species